rnacentral:rRNA from 1 species
CGCGGCUUAAUACUUGCAAGUCGAGGGGCAGCAUGACUGUAGCAAUACAGUUGAUGGCGACCGGCAAGCGGGUGCGGAACACGUACAGAACCUUCCUUCGAGCGGGGAAUAGCCCAGAGAAAUUUGGAUUAAUACCCCAUAGUAUAACGGAGAGGCAUCUCUUUGUUAUUAAAGAUUUAUCACUUGAAGAUGGCUGUGCGGCUGAUUAGGUAGUUGGCGGGGUAACGGCCCACCAAGCCUGCGAUCAGUAACUGGUGUGAGAGCACGACCAGUCACACGGGCACUGAGACACGGGCCCGACUCCUACGGGAGGCAGCAGUAAGGAAUAUUGGUCAAUGGACGCAAGUCUGAACCAGCCAUGCCGCGUGGAGGAUGAAGGUCCUCUGGAUUGUAAACUUCUUAUACCUGGGACGAAAAAAGGGAAUUCUUUCUCGUCUGACGGUACCAGAUGAAUAAGCACCGGCUAACUCCGUGCCAGCAGCCGCGGUAAUACGGAGGGUGCAAGCGUUAUCCGGAUUCACUGGGUUUAAAGGGUGCGUAGGCGGGUAUGUAAGUCCGUGAUGAAUCUC